rnacentral:tRNA from 1 species
GAUUAAAUGGCUGAAGCUUAGGCAGUAGAUUGUAAAUCUAUUUAUGAAGGAUAAUCUUCUUUAAUCA